AAUGAACGUUGGCGGCGUGGAUUAGGCAUGCAAGUCGAACGAGAAGCUUUUAAAAGAUACCUCGGUUGAUUUUAGAAGUGGACAGUGGCGAAAGGGAGAGUAACGAGUAGAUCACGUACCCAGGGGUUCGGGAUAGCUGCGGGAAACUGCAGGUAAUACCGAAUAAUGUCUCCGGACCAAAGAUUUAUUGCCCUUGGAGCGGUCUGCUUACUAUUAGUUUGUUGGUGGGGUAAUGGCCUACCAAGGCAAAGAUGGUUAGCGGGUGUGAGAGCAUGGCCCGUCUCACUGGGACUGAGACACUGCCCAGACACCUACGGGUGGCUGCAGUCGAGAAUCUUCCGCAAUGGACGAAAGUCUGACGGAGCGACGCCGCGUGCGGGAUGAAGGCCUUCGGGUUGUAAACCGCUGUCAUAGGGGAGGAAAUUUUGACCGAUCCUAAGAGGAAGCACAGGCUAAGUUCGUGCCAGCGCCGCGGUAA
rnacentral:rRNA from 1 species